rnacentral:rRNA from 1 species
UGGGGAAUUUUGGGCAAUGGGCGAAAGCCUGACCCAGCAACGCCGCGUGAGGGAGGAAAUCCUUCGGGAUGUAAACCUCGCAAGCAGGGGAAGAGCGCUUUCAUUAUAAUACAGUGGAAGCUCGACGGUACCCUGCGUAAGCCACGGCUAACUACGUGCCAGCAGCCGCGGUAAUACGUAGGUGGCAAGCGUUGUUCGGAAUUAUUGGGCGUAAAGGGCGCGUAGGCGGCUUGUUAAGUCGGCUGUGAAAGCCCGGGGCUCAACCCCGGAGGGUCGGCCGAUACUGGCGAGCUAGAGUACGGAAGAGGUAGCUGGAAUUCUCGGUGUAGCGGUGAAAUGCGUAGAUAUCGGGAGGAACACCAGAGGCGAAGGCGGGCUACUGGGCCGAUACUGACGCUGAUGCGCGAAAGCCAGGGUAGCAAACGGGAUUAGAUACCCCCGUAGUCC